rnacentral:rRNA from 1 species
CCUACGGGCGGCUGCAGUGAGGAAUAUUGGUCAAUGGGCGCGAGCCUGAACCAGCCAAGUAGCGUGAAGGAUGACUGCCCUACGGGUUGUAAACUUCUGUUAUAAAGGAAUAAAGUGAGGCAAGUGUGCCUUUUUGUAUGUAUGUUAUGAAUAAGGAUCGGCUAACUCCGUGCCAGCAGCCGCGGUAAUACGGAGGAUCCGAGCGUUAUCCGGAUUUAUUGGGUUUAAAGGGAGCGUAGAUGGGUUGUUAAGUCAGUUGUGAAAGUUUGCGGCUCAACCGUAAAAUUGCAAUUGAUACUGGCAGCCUUGAGUACAGUUGAGGUAGGCUGAAUUCGUGGUGUAGCGGUCAACUGCUUCGAUCUCAC